UGGCUGACUGGAUAAUGGGGAUCCACAGAAUGCUGAGCACCACCAUUACUAAGAUGAACACCCUGCAGGUGAUGACCACAAACAGGAGGUACUCUGGCAUAGUUACCACACCAGCAGAGAUGUAAACCGGCACAAAGAUCCAACCAAGAGCAAUGAGGACCCAAGCUGCCUGUGAAACAUGAAAGCUUAUUCUAAGCUGAAAUACUGUGGAUAGGUCUUCAUAAUAAAGGGUGUCCACCUCCUGAUGGAAAUAUUGACAAACUGUAAUAACUCGAUUAUCCUCUCCAUUGUUUAUCAUCUUGGUGUUUUUUCACAAUGCACUUAACAUAUUACUUACAUUCCAUUCAAACCCUCCAACAGCGAUGCCUCCUGCUGCUCCAGUGCCAGCUAGUCCGAUGAACAAACCACUGCCAACAUUACUGGACAUCAGAGAGGCCCCAAUCUGAGACAGCAGAACAAAAUUUACUUCAUUUUGUCCAUUUUUAUCUUUGGAUAUAGAUAGCUAUUAUCAGUAUCAACUAUUUUCAUCCAAUUAUUUAAUGUUAUAAAAGAAACAACUUUCCUAAUUUAAAACAGAUGAUAAUACUUAAUAGUCUGGAUCAUGAUUCACUUUUUAUCUAGUUGACAUAGUAAUUUCUUCACUAAUGUUCAGUUCAAUGCAUUGAGUUCAAUACCAUCAUAAUCUCAGGCUACUUACAGGCCACCAUGUCAUGGAUCUUCCAGCCAAGAAGUAUCCACCCACUGUCCCACGGUUUGCCCUGACAGAAGACUGCGAUAAAGAGUUAAUUUACAUCAUACAUCAAACUAUACUGUCUGUAGAUAUUAGUUACAGCAAAGCCUUCUCAAUGACAUUGCUUUAUACUUAUUAUUUAGUCAAUAUUUCAUUUAUUUGAACAACAGAUUUUGUGAGCGGAAGAAUUCUGAUGAAUUAAUCUCCACAGUACAACUUCAGUGUUAGGUCAUUGUACCAGUCUUCCCUCUUCAUACAAUGAAAGCAUCCACCAGGUAAUAGGAGUGUUUAUUACUUACCCAUAUUCCCACAACAAGAACAAAGACGAAGUAUACCACGACCACAACAAUAUCAAGAGCUUCCAAAGCAAACUUUUCAGGUAAUUCAGGCACAGAAGUCGUUGUCGCAAGACUAGGUGUUGAAG